UACGUAGGCAGCAAGCGUUGUUCGGAAUUACUGGGCGUAAAGAGUGUGUAGGCGGUGUUCUAAGUUUGUCGUGAAAUCUCCCGGCUUAACUGGGAGGGUGCGGCGAAAACUGGAAUGCUAGAGGAUGGGAGAGGUAAGCGGAAUUCCUGGUGUAGCGGUGAAAUGCGUAGAUAUCAGGAGGAACACCUGUGGUGAAGACAGCUUACUGGACCAUUUCUGACGCUGAGACACGAAAGCGUGGGUAGCAAACAGG
rnacentral:rRNA from 1 species